rnacentral:rRNA from 1 species
UGUCUUUUAGAAAAAAAUUAAAAGUCGGGCCUGCCCAGUGAAAAUUUUUAAAUGGCCGCGGUAUUUUGACCGUGCUAAGGUAGCAUAAUCAUUAGUUUCUUAAUUAGAAGCUGGAAUGAAAGGUUUGAUGAAAAAACUACUGUCUCAAUCUAAAGUUUUUGAAUUUUAUUUUUAAGUKARAAAGCUUAAAUAAAUAUGAAAGACGAGAAGACCCUAUAGAGUUUUAUUUUUGGUUUAUUAAGAAUAUAAUUUUAGAAUUUUAUUAUUUUUUAUUAAAAAAAAUUGGGUUGGGGUGACUAAAAAAUUUAAAAAACUUUUUUUACSCUGAAAACACAAUUAAGUGGUUAAAUUUAAUGAUCCUUUAUUUAAGAUUAAAAGAAAAAAUUACCUUAGGGAUAACAGCGUUAUUUUUUCUGAGAGUUCAUAUCGAAGAAAAAGUUUGCGACCUCGAUGUGGGGAUUAAA